rnacentral:rRNA from 1 species
UACGGAGGGUGCAAGCGUUAUCCGGAUUCACUGGGUUUAAAGGGUGCGUAGGUGGGCAGGUAAGUCAGUGGUGAAAUCUCCGAGCUUAACUCGGAAACUGCCAUUGAUACUAUCUGUCUUGAAUACCGUGGAGGUCAGCGGAAUAUGUCAUGUAGCGGUGAAAUGCUUAGAUAUGACAUAGAACACCGAUUGCGAAGGCAGCUUGCUACACGAUCAUUGACACUGAGGCACGAAAGCGUGGGGAUCAAACAGG